ACGGAGGCAGCAGUGGGGAAUAUUGGACAAUGGGGGAAACCCUGAUCCAGCGACGCCGCGUGAGUGAAGAAGUAUUUCGGUAUGUAAAGCUCUAUCAGCAGGGAAGAUAAUGACGGUACCUGACUAAGAAGCCCCGGCUAGCUACGUGCCAGCAGCCGCGGUAAUACGUAGGGGGCAAGCGUUAUCCGGAUUUACUGGGUGUAAAGGGAGCGUAGACGGUAUGGCAAGUCUGAUGUGAAAACCCAAGGCUCAACCAUGGGACUGCAUUGGAAACUGUCAAACUAGAGUGCAGGAGGGGUAAGCGGAAUUCCUAGUGUAGCGGUGAAAUGCGUAGAUAUUAGGAGGAACACCGGUGGCGAAGGCGGCUUACUGGACUGUAACUGACGUUGAGGCUCGAAAGCGUGGGGAGCAAACAGGAUUAGAUACCCUGGUA
rnacentral:rRNA from 1 species